rnacentral:lncRNA from 1 species
GAAAUUUGUGAAUGUGAAGCAACUAAUUACUGUUUCCCUCUGGGCAAAGUUUAUAAUAGCACAGAAAAAAGUGGCCAAAUGUUAUGUGGAAAUGCUUAUGAAUAACUCAGGACUUCACAGACUCUGUGACCUUAGGAAUGCAUUACCACCUGUGAUGUAUGCCUCUGGGACAAAUGCCUUGUGGUCAGGUGUGGGCAGAUAAGUGCUGGGAAGACAGUCCCUCAUGUGCACAGCCCAAGAAUUGCCCAGAAUUGUGUGGCCUAAAAUCUUAUUAUCUAUACUUUUGUUGAAGUUUGCUAAGAAUUUUGAUUGCCAAGAAUCUUCCUUUAAGUACUCCAGGAGGAACUUUUCAUUGACACUAUUGAUAGGGAACAGCCUAGCACACUGGUGCUCUACCAUGAAUGCACAUUUUGAAUCUCCUGCGGAGCUAUACAGAAAAGUCCAGCGGGCAUCUAGACUUCCUCCUCAAGAUUUCUGAUUAAACUGGGCAUUCCUAGUAAGUCUCGGGAGAAGCCUGGACAAGGACGGUUUUUGAAAGCCAAACGGGAUGGGGCUGUUGAAAAGCAGAGUAUCAUAGGAUCAGUUCCUCUGGAAUAACUUAUGAACAACGUUUUGCUUUCUCCAGCAUUGAUGUGAUUUUAAAAUCAGGGUUAGUGUUACACCAGCUGAAGCAAGAGAAUAUUAAUAUUGUGGCCACAUGAGGGACCCCCAUGUCACAAUUCUCUGCUGACUACCGCAUAUGACAAUAAUUCGCCUUCCUAAAUGCUCUGCAUUCUCUAUUUUCACAACCACCGGUGAGACAAGGGAUAUCAGAUUGGUUUCAUUUGUCAUGUCAUCCCUAAUAGAUGGGUGGUGAUUGCCUGAGUGCUGUGUUGCAAAACAAUCAGAGGUUGUAUCUGACAACAGCAGUAAAAGCUACCUGAUCAAUUAGUGAUGUCUGCCAUGAGUGCUUGGAAUGAGGAAUGGCAAUGCACAGGACAGGCUUUGCUAGCUUUGCAUAACUCAACAGAAGCAGAGAGUUGUCUGCAGAUGACCUUAUGUAUCUCCACAUGUAUAUUACAGAAGAGUGCCCUCUCCCAUCAGAAUAGUAGGAUGUAUUAGGUUUACUUAUAUAACUAGUCAAUACCUUAGGAGGUCUUUUAAGCUUAGUAUUAGAAACUUUUUUUUUUUGCUUUUUGUUUUCUCUGCCUUUCAUAAAACACAAUGGGCAUAGAAAGCACUGAUUGUAAGAGGCUUACAGUUUCACUAGAGAAAGUGUAUGUGCAAUCAACAACUAAUAAGCACAGUAUUAUUUAUUGUGACAGAAUUGUGUGCUGAUAUAAUAAAGAUGAUAAAGGGAGUAAAUUCUUAAUGAUGUGGUCUGAGGAACAAACACUAAUUCUAUAGUCCACCAGAUACUGCUUUGACCAAGCGGAUAUUAGAGGCAAAUGGGUGAAUUCACAUUCUGAGCAGAGCUGGUUUCUCUCACAAAUAAUCACAACACAACACGCGCAACCUAACACAGCACAGCAUGAGUCUCAUCACCAUAUUAUUCUUUAAUCAAUUCAGUGAUAAUUUGUCCAACUUCUCAUUAACUUUCUUUUCUCAUAGGCAAGUAUUCCAGCUUAUUAGCUUUAUAUAAAGAACAAGGAUCUAGACAUCCAACAGACCUUUCAGACCUCAGCUCUGCCACUUAACUUUCUGGCCUCCAGAAAGUCUCUGAUGCCUACAAAUCCCUGUUGCCACAUACAAGGUAGAUAUAACAAAACUUCCCUUGCAGGAAUAUUUUAAGAUUUAAGAAGAUAUGUCAACAAUCUGGUGCUUAAUAGGGUUUCAUUAAAUGGCAAGAUAUUAUUUCCUGAAUUAUAAAAUGACAUUGAUUUUAAGAUGCGCUCUUGAAUUAAUAGAAAGUUUCCAGGGGGGAAAAACAUCCCUUCAUUAUAACGUACAUCUCAUUGUAAUGUGAGUCUGAAUUUUAUAGACUAUAACAUGUGAAGUGCGUGUGAGCCUAGCAGCAGCGAUAUGUUGCCAGAACCAGCAUGUACAGCCAGAACAAGCAUAUGAACAGCAGCAAAUGUUCCUCCAGAGCCUACCAUGUGCCAGGAACUGCCAUCAAACAUUUAAUUCUCACAGGAACCCAACCAGGUUGGUCCUAUUAGCCACCACAUGUUACAGACAAGGCCACUGAGGCACUACUAUGAGAGUAAAUUGGCUAAGCCCUCAUAGCCAGAAAGUGACAGAGCCUGAAUUUCAGCCGGGCGUCCUGGCACUCAAAGCCAUGCCCUCAGCACCGUGCUGGGCUCCCCAGGGCUGGCUGCCAGAAGGUGUCUGGACCUGUUAGUGGAGGAACCCUGAGGACUGGCAGGGAGGGGGCAUCAAAGCAGAAUCAAGAUGGAAGCUGACUCACCAUUGAGAGAGGCUGCCUGUAGGCCAAGGGAAGUACCUACAAGGCAGCUGGACACUGAGACUGGAAGCCCAGGGAGUCAGAAGAUGGAAGGCAGGAGUGAGGCACGUGAGGAAAAGCAGUUCUGGGAAAACACAGGAAACCAGCCACAUGUGCAGGUCAUGGGGUCUGAUGCUUUCUGUCAAGAGGUAAGUGGACAUGGGUACGCUGACAUUUUCCUACAUGCAACAGGCUUUGAAUCUGGUUCCCUGUUUCUUCUGAGGCCAUGCACGCAUACCUCAAGACCAAGAGAACAGUUGAAGUAUGUUACGGGUUAAACUGCAUCCCCUCCUAAAAUUCAUAUAUUGAAGUCCUGACCCCAAGUACCUCAGAAUGUGACCUGAUUUGGAGAUGGGGCCUUUGCAGAGUUAGGUUAAAAUGAGGUCUUUAGGGUGGGCCCUAAUCCAAUGUAACUGAUGUCUUAAUGAAACAGGGAGAUUUGGACCCAGACAUGCCCGUACAGGGAGAUCACCAUGUCCACCCACAAAGCCAAGGAGAGAGGUCCGGAGCAGGUUCCCCCUCACAGCCCGCGGAAGGAACCAAUCCUGCUGGCACCUUAACUUCACAUGUCUGGCCUCCAGAACUGUGAGAGAAUGUUGUGAAUGCAAGAGGAAAGCAUCCUAAGGAGGAGGAUUUGGCGGGACCUAACAAGACCACAGUGCAUUGACCCUUUGGCCCAGCAAUGUCACUUCUAGGACUUCAUCUUGAAAAUCCACCUCCAGAAAUGCAAAGCAUCAUAGGCAGAAGAUCAUUCACUGUGGCUUCAUACGUAAUAGCACAAUAUUACAAAAAAUAAAAAUGCUGAUUUGUAGAAGAUUGGUUAAAUAAAUUAUGAUAUAUCAGCGCUGUUUUUUUACAAAAGGAAUGAGGAAUAUCUGUAUUCAUUGAUAUGUAGUGACUUUGAGGAUAUACUAUUUAAAUUAAAAACUAAGCACUACACACAUACAUUCAUAUAUAUAUAUGUAUACAUCUGCAGAUUUUGUACAAAUAAAGGG